rnacentral:lncRNA from 1 species
CAACCCCACUUUUCUUUCCGGCUACCUGUUCCUCGUACUCGUCCUCUUCCCUCAUCUCUCUCUCUUUUCCUUCAUUUUCCGAUCGGUCUCCGCGAUCGGUUUUGGAGGAGCAGCAAUGUUGAGCUCGCCAUUGACGAGGCUUCGCGAGCACGACUGGUACUCCCGAUCCUCAUCCCGAUCCUACGUUCACGUAAGCAAAUCCCUCUCUUUCCCUCGAUCUCUCUCUCCUUCUCAAACGUAAUAUCCGCCAAUAAUUUAAGGAUAAAUUAAAUUUACUAUCAAUGCAUUUUCUCAAAUAUUUUUUUCUAACAUAUUAUUAACUAUUUAUGUGUUUUCUCAAAUAUUUUUUUUCUAACAUACCCACAAUUUUUUCUUUCUCAAAUGUAAUACCAGUCAAUCACGUAAUAGUUAAAAUUAAAUUUUAAUUUUUGAAUUAAGUAUGAAUUAAAUCUACUAUUUAAAUAUUUUCUCAAAUAUUUUCUUUCUAACAUACCCGCAAAAAUUUUUUUUUCUCAAACGUAAUACCCCCAAUCACGUAGUACUCAAAAUUUAUUUUAAAUUUUGAUUAAAUCUACUAUCAACACCAUCUACGCGUUUUUUUAAAUAUUUUUUUUUCUAAAACAUAAUACCUGAAAAUCAUGUAGUACUCAAAUUAAAUUUAAAGUUUUGAAUUAAGCAUGAAUUAAAUUUACUAUCUACGCGUUUUUUCAAAUAUUUUCUUUCUAACAUACCCCCAAUCUUCUUUCACGUAAUGCCAGCCAAAAUUUAAUACCUCCAAUUUGAUAAUUUAAAAUUUAGGAAUAAUUGCCCAUAUACCCCUCAAAACUUCGAAAUUAUCUCAUUUAUCCUUAAUUCAAAAUUAUAAUUCAAAAUUCUAGUCACUAAAUAGUCGAAAAUUUUAAUUUUAUACAUAAAUUAUAGUAAUACAAGAAUAAAAUUAUAAAGUAAAAAAAUUAUUAAUACUUAAUUAAUCAAUUUCUAUCAUAUUUUAAUUGUACAAACUAAAUAAAAAAAUAUUAAAAUUUAAUUAAUCAAUUUCUAUCAUAUUUUAAUUGUACAAACUAAAUAAAAAAAUAUUAAAAUUUAAUUAAUCAAUUUUUAUCAUAUUUUAAAUAUGCCAACUAAAUAAAAGAGUAAUUAGUACCAUAAUUAAAUAUAUUUAAAUAUAACUAUCUUCACCUAGUAUAUUAUUUUAUUAUUUUUUCUUCACCUCCCUUCACCGUAAUUGACUUCAGCCCACGAUGGGUGGGCCGAAGUCAAUUACGACGUUUCAAGUUAACUCGAGUUUCGACCGUAAUAUUUUUACGGCGAACCAAAUAAUGGAAGAUAAAAUUUUAACAGGUCUAUUUUUAGAAUAAAAUUUUAGGAGAAGACUAUAGUACUAAAAAA